rnacentral:rRNA from 1 species
UACGGGGGGGGCAAGCGUUGUUCGGAAUUACUGGGCGUAAAGGGCUCGUAGGCGGCCAACUAAGUCAGACGUGAAAUCCCUCGGCUUAACCGGGGAACUGCAUCUGAUACUGGAUGGCUUGAGUUCGGGAGAGGGAUGCGGAAUUCCAGGUGUAGCGGUGAAAUGCGUAGAUAUCGGGAGGAACACCUGUGGCGAAAGCGGCGCACUGGACCAUAACUGACGCUGAUGCGCGAAAGCUAGGGGAGCAAACAGG